rnacentral:rRNA from 1 species
CCUACGGGAGGCAGCAGUAGGGAAUUUUCGGCAAUGGGGGGAACCCUGACCGAGCAACGCCGCGUGAGUGAAGAAGUAUUUCGGUACGUAAAGCUCUAUCAGCAGGGAAGAAAAAAAGUCCUUUGGACUUUGGACGGUACCUAACCAAGAAGCCCCGGCUAACUACGUGCCAGCAGCCGCGGUAAUACGUAGGGGGCAAGCGUUAUCCGGAUUUACUGGGUGUAAAGGGAGCGUAGACGGCAGCGCAAGUCUGGAGUGAAAUGCCGGGGCCCAACCCCGGAACUGCUUUGGAAACUGUGCAGCUGGAGUGCAGGAGAGGUAAGCGGAAUUCCUAGUGUAGCGGUGAAAUGCGUAGAUAUUAGGAGGAACACCAGUGGCGAAGGCGGCUUACUGGACUGUAACUGACGUUGAGGCUCGAAAGCGUGGGGAGCAAACAGGAUUAGAUACCCGAGUAGUC